AACCUUAAGCCCAACUUCAAAAGAAACAGGGCAAAAACCAAAAGAACCCUAAUCCUAAAGCAUUUACAGCCAAAUACUCCAUUUUGGUCCUCCAUGUCUUCUCUGCAAACAAAUAGUCAUUUUAGUGCUCCAGAGGAUGCCCAAAUCUUCUUCAUGAAACCAACAGAGAAUACCCCUUCAGAUAAUUAUUUGAACUUGUAAUUUCAUAUCCUAGCAACAGGAUCCUGUGAAUCUGAGUCUUUCUUCAGGUUUCAUGGGUAGAAAACUAAACCACUGCAUUUCCCCCUAUCUCUGCAGUCCAUUCCUCUACAAUGACCAGAACCCAGACAAGUUUCACUCCCAUCUUUAGGCCUCUCUUUAGCCAAGGGUCCAUCUUAUGCCUAGACUGGUCCAAACAUCAAUAGCAAAAGGGCACUCCCUAAAGACAUGUUUGGUGGUCUUAAGACAGUCGGAGCAUUGGGAGCAGUUAGUUGAGUUCCCAAGUCGUCGCUGGUAAAGAUUAGAUAAAGUAGGGAUAAAGUUAUUAAGAGUUUUCCAAAUUAGGAUUUUAAUUUUUGAGGGCAAAUCCACCGCCUAGAGCUUCUUGUACAUGGUUUUGUAAAAGUCGAUGUUAGCUUGUAAAGUAAUUGGGUUAUCAUCUGUAAUAAUUUUAUAUAACCACUCCGUACUGAGUAUGAUCCCGAAGCUUCACCAUGCUAAACCAAUCUAUCAGCUUCUUUCUCCAUAGGGAGGGGAAUGCAAAGAAUUCUUUCAGCAUCAUCUGCAUGAAAGGUACUUUUGAUCAA